rnacentral:tRNA from 2 species
GAAAAUCCAUUAACAUUAUUGUUGUAAGGGUUCAAAUCCCUUUAUCUCU